GCGUGCCUAACACAUGCAAGUCGAGCGGAGAUUGCAGCAAUGUGAUCUUAGCGGCGGACGGGUGAGUAACGCGUGGGCAACCUGCCUCAUACAGGGGGAUAACACUGGGAAACUAGUGCUAAUACCGCAUAACAUCAAGAGAAGACAUCUUUUUUUGAUCAAAGGAGCAAUCCGGUAUGAGAUGGGCCCGCGUCCGAUUAGCUAGUUGGUGAUGUAACGGACCACCAAGGCGACGAUCGGUAGCCGAACUGAGAGGUUGAUCGGCCACAUUGGGACUGAGACACGGCCCAGACUCCUACGGGAGGCAGCAGUGGGGAAUAUUGCGCAAUGGGGGGAACCCUGACGCAGCAACGCCGCGUGA
rnacentral:rRNA from 1 species